rnacentral:tRNA from 1 species
CAAGAGGUAGUUUAAUUAGAAUAUCAGCUUUGGGUGUUGAUGGUAGGGCACAAGCUCUUCUCUUGA